GAUGAACGCUGGCGGCGUGCCUAAUACAUGCAAGUCGAGCGAACGGACGAGAAGCUUGCUUCUCUGAUGUUAGCGGCGGACGGGUGAGUAACACGUGGAUAACCUACCUAUAAGACUGGGAUAACUUCGGGAAACCGUAGCUAAUACCGGAUAAUAUUUUGAACCGCAUGGUUCAAAAGUGAAAGACGGUCUUGCUGUCACUUAUAGAUGGAUCCGCGCUGCAUUAGCUAGUUGGUAAGGUAACGGCUUACCAAGGCAACGAUGCAUAGCCGACCUGAGAGGGUGAUCGGCCACACUGGAACUGAGACACGGUCCAGACUCCUACGGGAGGCAGCAGUAGGGAAUCUUGCGCAAUGGGCGAAAGCCUGACGGAGCAAUGCCGCGUGAGUGAUGAAGGUCUUCGGAUCGUAAAACUCUGUUAUUAGGGAAGAACAUAUGUGUAAGUAACUGUGCACAUCUUGACGGUACCUAAUCAGAAAGCCACGGCUAACUACGUG
rnacentral:rRNA from 1 species